GACUCGUCACACUAUCAUUAACUGAAUCCAUAGGUUAAUGAGGCGAACCGGGGGAACUGAAACAUCUAAGUACCCCGAGGAAAAGAAAUCAACCGAGAUUCCCCCAGUAGCGGCGAGCGAACGGGGAGGAGCCCAGAGCCUGAAUCAGCAUGUGUGUUAGUGGAAGCGUCUGGAAAGGCGCGCGAUACAGGGUGACAGCCCCGUACACAAAAGCGCAUGUGCUGUGAGCUCGAUGAGUAGGGCGGGACACGUGGUAUCCUGUCUGAAUAUGGGGGGACCAUCCUCCAAGGCUAAAUACUCCUGACUGACCGAUAGUGAACCAGUACCGUGAGGGAAAGGCGAAAAGAACCCCGGCGAGGGGAGUGAAAAAGAACCUGAAACCGUGUACGUACAAGCAGUGGGAGCCCCACCACUAAGCCAGUGGUGAACUCCACAUACGCAUCCUUUGCUGAGGAUACGGUUAACGGAGCGAAAGCGACGUUCAACCGCAAAAGAAGCAGAGGGGGCUUAGUGGUGGGGUGACUGCGUACCUUUUGUAUAAUGGGUCAGCGACUUAUAUUCUGUAGCAAGGUUAACCGAAUAGGGGAGCCGGAGGGAAACCGAGUCUUAAUUGGGCGUUAAGUUGCAGGGUAUAGACCCGAAACCCGGUGAUCUAGCCAUGGGCAGGUUGAAGGUUGGGUAACACUAACUGGAGGACCGAACCGACUAAUGUUGAAAAAUUAGCGGAUGACCUGUGGCUGGGGGUGAAAGGCCAAUCAAACCGGGAGAUAGCUGGUUCUCCCCGAAAGCUAUUUAGGUAGCGCCUCGUGAAUUCAUCUCCGGGGGUAGAGCACUGUUUCGGCUAGGGGGCCAUCCCGGCUUACCAACCCGAUGCAAACUGCGAAUACCGGAGAAUGUUAUCACGGGAGACACACGGCGGGUGCUAACGUCCGUCGUGAAGAGGGAAACAACCCAGACCGCCAGCUAAGGUCCCAAAGUCAUGGUUAAGUGGGAAACGAUGUGGGAAGGCCCAGACAGCCAGGAUGUUGGCUUAGAAGCAGCCAUCAUUUAAAGAAAGCGUAAUAGCUCACUGGUCGAGUCGGCCUGCGCGGAAGAUGUAACGGGGCUAAACCAUGCACCGAAGCUGCGGCAGCGACGCUGAUGCGUUGUUGGGUAGGGGAGCGUUCUGUAAGCCUGCGAAGGUGACCUGUGAGGGUUGCUGGAGGUAUCAGAAGUGCGAAUGCUGACAUAAGUAACGAUAAAGCGGGUGAAAAGCCCGCUCGCCGGAAGACCAAGGGUUCCUGUCCAACGUU
rnacentral:rRNA from 1 species